UUGCUUUAGCAGCACUUAUACUAGAUUGGAACAAUACAGUGAUGAUUAGUGUGACACUUGUCCAAAGAUACCACACAAAUUCAGGUAACAUUCCAUUUUUUU
rnacentral:snRNA from 1 species